AGAACGACUCUCGGCAAUGGAUAUCUCGGCUCUCGCAUCGAUGAAGAACGUAGCGAAAUGCGAUACUUGGUGUGAAUUGCAGAAUCCCGUGAACCAUCGAGUCUUUGAACGCAAGUUGCGCCCGAAGCCUUCUGGCCGAGGGCACGUCUGUCUGGGCGUCA
rnacentral:rRNA from 1 species